rnacentral:rRNA from 1 species
UACGUAGGGUGCUAGCGUUGUCCGGAUUUAUUGGGCGUAAAGAGCUCGUAGGCGGUGUGUCACGUCGGCCGUGAAAACCCGGAGCUCAACUCCGGGCCUGCAGUCGAUACGGGCAGACUGGAGUUCGGCAGGGGAGACUGGAAUUCCUGGUGUAGCGGUGAAAUGCGCAGAUAUCAGGAGGAACACCGGUGGCGAAGGCGGGUCUCUGGGCCGAUACUGACGCUGAGGAGCGAAAGCGUGGGGAGCGAACAGG